rnacentral:rRNA from 1 species
CCUACGGGUGGCAGCAGUGAGGAAUAUUGGUCAAUGGUCGGGAGACUGAACCAGCCAAGCCGCGUGAGGGAUGAAGGUACAGAGUAUCGUAAACCUCUUUUGUCAGGGAACAAAGGCGGGGACGCGUCCCCGGAUGAGUGUACCUGAAGAAAAAGCAUCGGCUAACCCCGUGCCAGCAGCCGCGGUAAUACGGAGGAUGCGAGCGUUAUCCGGAUUUAUUGGGUUAAAGGGGUGCGAAGGCGGGCUUUUAAGUCGGCGGUCAAAGCCCGGGGCUCAACCCGGGCCCGCCGUUGAAACUGGCAGUCUCGAGUUGGGGAGAGGUAUGCGGAAUGCGCGGUGUAGCGGUGAAAUGCAUAGAUAUCGCGCAGAACUCCGAUUGCGAAGGCAGCAUGCCGGCUCCACACUGACGCUGAGGCACGAAAGCGUGGGUAUCGAACAGGAUUAGAUACCCCGGUAGUC